rnacentral:rRNA from 1 species
AUGCACGCUGGCGGCGUGCUUAACACAUGCAAGUCGAACGAAGCAUUUAGGACAGAUUACUUCGGUUUGAAGUUCUUUAUGACUGAGUGGCGGACGGGUGAGUAACGCGUGGGUAACCUGCCUUGUACUGGGGGAUAGCAGCUGGAAACGGCUGGUAAUACCGCAUAAGCGCACAAUGUUGCAUGACAUGGUGUGAAAAACUCCGGUGGUAUAAGAUGGACCCGCGUCUGAUUAGCUAGUUGGUGAGAUAACAGCCCACCAAGGCGACGAUCAGUAGCCGACCUGAGAGGGUGACCGGCCACAUUGGGACUGAGACACGGCCCAGACUCCUACGGGAGGCAGCAGUGGGGAAUAUUGCACAAUGGAGGAAACUCUGAUGCAGCGACGCCGCGUGAGUGAAGAAGUAAUUCGUUAUGUAAAGCUCUAUCAGCAGGGAAGAUAGUGACGGUACCUGACUAAGAAGCUCCGGCUAAAUACGUG